UUUAGUAUUGGCUCAUCUUCAUGUUGGUCUGUAACCGAUGAUGCAUCGCCUCUUAUCCUGACUCCUCACAACCCCUCCAAUAUAAAUAGUUAGAGUAGCGAAGGAUCUCCAGCGACAGUUCCGCCCGUCGACGUGUUCCUGUUGUUCUAUAACCGAUGACGCAUCGCCUCUUAUCCUUGACUCCCCACUACUCCUCCGCCGGGCCAUCCGCGUCCUCAUGGCCAUUCCUAUCCCCCACCCAAUCUCUUCCCCUUCACGAUCCUUCUUCUCCCCCGCUCUACAAAUAUCUCUCUUCCAUGGUAUGAGCGGCUAUGCUUGAGCGAAGCGACGGAGUAGCGAAGAUUGCGAGGUUUGGUUGGGGACAGAUGGGUGCUCCCUGUGCAGUGACCUUUCCCUCCCUCUCUCUGCACCAGAUUCAUUUCUCUGAUCUUCAAGUCAUUUUUUCCUACAAUCUCCCAUAUCCCCGUGUGUUUAGUCGAGAUGACUGCCGUGGAGACAUGGUCCUUACCUUUCGUCUCUGACUCUAUUCUGGCCAAGGGAGCUCCGACGCCGUUGGGGAGAUUGGUUCUGGUCGGUUCCACCGGAAUCAGACCAGCCACUGGUGCGGCGUCGGGCAGGGGCGCAGGGCUGCAGAUCUGCGACGAGAGGAUGACCUCAAGAAUCUGGACCGUGCUGCUAUCCAGCAACUAGCCGCGGCCAACAUGGGCUACCUCCACAUCGGCUGCACAGCCGCCGGUGCAUGCUGAUCCGGCCACCUGCGCCACAGCAGAACAAUGAGCGACUCCUUAUCCUUCCCACUACUACUGUAUGAGUAUUCAAACUGAAUUCGAGGUGGAGAAAAAACUUGGUACACUGAUUUUUUUUUAUUUCUCAUUUGAGGGCUCUAGGUCAUGUCUAUCCGAAACAUUCAAGUUUGGAGCUUUCGGAUCGUACUUCAGAAAGAACAUUUAGUUACCGCCAAAUUCUUCUCAUGCAUGUACAGAAGAUCGACAAAUGUAAGAUACUCAUUUUGUUGUUAUGUAAUUCAAAAAAUCUGUAAUAUGUGUGAUAUGUAAAUACGGCCAAGAUUGUAAUGACUUUUGUGAACAUCUUAUUGGUUUAGAUGAUUUUACGAAAUUGAAACCUUUCAGCCUAACCACAGGUAUACCCAAAAGUUUAAGUUGUUAUUAAUUAUCAUUUUUAGGUGGUUAUAAGCUGUUAUUAUUUACCUUUUUAGGUGGCUUAAUUUUUUUUUCUAAAUGGUCGAAACAUCAUUUGAUG